UUCCGGUUGAUCCUGCCGGAGGUCACCGCUAUUGGAAUCCGCUUAAGCCAUGCGAGUCGAGAGGGUUCGGCCCUCGGCACACUGCUCAGUAACACGUGGACAAUCUGCCCUCGGGAGGGGGAUAAUCUCGAGAAAUUGAGAAUAAUACCCCAUAGGGCCCGUUUGCUGGAACGCUUCGGGUCCCAAAGCUGCGGCGCCCGAGGAUGAGUCUGCGGCUCAUCAGGUUGUAGUGAGUGUAACGGACUCACUAGCCGACAGCGAGUACGGGCCUUGGAAGAGGUUGCCCGGAGAUGGACUCUGAGACACGAGUCCAGGCCCUACGGGGCGCAGCAGGCGCGAAAACUUCGCAAUGCGGGAAACCGCGACGAGGGGAUUCCGAGUGCUCAUGUUUAUUCAUGGGCUGUUUUCCUGCCUAAAAAGCAGGGAGAGUAAGGGCUGGGUAAGACGGGUGCCAGCCGCCGCGGUAAUACCCGCAGCCCGAGUGGUGAUCGUUUUUAUUGGGCCUAAAGCGUCCGUAGCCGGCUCAGUAAAUCCUUGGGUAAAUCGGGCAGCUUAACUGUCCGACUUCCGGGGAGACUGCUGAGCUUGGGACUGGGAGAGGUCGGAGGUACUCCGGGGGUAGAGGUGAAAUUCUGUAAUCCUCGGGGGACCACCAGUGGCGAAGGCGUCCGACUUGAACGGGUCCGACGGUGAGGGACGAAGCCCUGGGGCACAAACCGGAUUAGAUACCCGGGUAGUCCAGGGUGUAAACGCUGCGGGCUUGGUGUUGGGGGUCCUACGUGGGCGCUCAGUGCCGGAGAGAAGUUGUUAAGCCCGCCGCCUGGGGAGUACGGUCGCAAGACUGAAACUUAAAGGAAUUGGCGGGGGAGCACCGCAACGGGUGGAGCGUGCGGUUUAAUUGGAUUCAACGCCGGA
rnacentral:rRNA from 1 species